CUACGGGUGGCUCCAGUGAGGAAUAUUGCACAAUAGGGGGAACCCUGAUGCAGCAACGCCGCGUGGAGGAUGACGCAUUUCGGUGUGUAAACUCCUUUUAUAUGUCAAGAAAAUGACGGUAGCAUAUGAAUAAGCACCGGCUAACUCCGUGCCAGCAGCCGCGGUAAUACGGAGGGUGCAAGCGUUACUCGGAAUCACUGGGCGUAAAGGACGCGUAGGCGGGUUGGAAAGUCAGGUGUGAAAUCCUACAGCUUAACUGUAGAACUGCACUUGAAACUUCUAAUCUAGAGUAUGGGAGGGGGGGAUGGAAUUAGUGGUGUAGGGGUAAAAUCCGUAGAUAUCACUAGGAAUACCUAAAGCGAAGGCGAUCUCCUGGAACAUUACUGACGCUAAGGCGUGAAAGCGUGGGGAGCAAACAGGAUUAGAUACCCUAGUAGUC
rnacentral:rRNA from 1 species